rnacentral:rRNA from 1 species
GGGCCUUUGCUUGCAAUCCGCUGACGACCGGCGCACGGGUGCGUAACGCGUAUGCAACCUACCUUCUACAGGGGGAUAGUCAAUAGAAAUGUUGAAUAAUACCCCAUACGAUCUUUGAAUAGCAUUAUUUAAAGAAGAAAGCUCCGGCGGUAGAAGAUGGGCAUGCGUCCUAUUAGUUAGUUGGUAAGGUAACGGCUUACCAAGACUUCGAUAGGUAGGGGUCCUGAGAGGGAGACCCCCCACACUGGUACUGAGACACGGACCAGACUCCUACGGGAGGCAGCAGUGAGGAAUAUUGGACAAUGGAGGCAACUCUGAUCCAGCCAUGCCGCGUGCAGGAAGACUGCCCUAUGGGUUGUAAACUGCUUUUAUACAGGAAGAAAUAUACCUACGUGUAGGUAUUUGACGGUACUGUACGAAUAAGGAUCGGCUAACUCCGUGCCAGCAGCCGCGGUAAUACGGAGGAUCCAAGCGUUAUCCGGAAUCAUUGGGUUUAAAGGGUCCGUAGGCGGUCUUUUAAGUCAGAGGUGAAAUCCUACAGC